rnacentral:rRNA from 1 species
UACGGAAGGGGCUAGUGUUAUUCAUCAUUAUUGGGCGUAAAGGGUAACUAGACGGCUAUUUAAACUAAAUAUGAAAGACAAGGGCGCAACCCCUGGUGUGUAUUUACCGAUUGUUUAGCUUUGAGUUUUUGGGAAGUUAGCGGAUUUUUUAAGGAGGAGGUAAAAUUUGUUGAUCUUAAAAGGACCACCGAACUGCGGAGGCAGCUAACUAUCAUUAUACUAACGUUGAAUUACUAAAGCGUGGGUAUCGAACAGG